rnacentral:snRNA from 1 species
GGAUACGAGGGCAGUCUGGCUGCGAUAUGUCACCCCACUAAUUGCCAGGGUUGCUUCGGCUGUUCUGGUUGGCUAGGCAGGUGUCCCCAUCAUCCCUCACCGCUCCAUGUGCGUCCCUCCCAAAGCUGCACACUCUGUCAUGUUUAAGAGGAUGAUCUUCCUCAAAUACAGACAGAUCAGUCUUCAGUAGAGGGUACAGGAGUAGCCACACUCCCCUACUAGACCCUCCAGACAAGCUCUCAAGAAUACAUAGAUUGUGAGAGCUGGGCGGUAGCGCAGCGGGUUACGCGCACGUGGCGCAAAGCGUUAAU